GCCAUGGCUCCGUAGAACAGACUCUCUUCCGCACCAGGUGCACGUUGCCGUGUCUCUCUGAGGGUCUGAUAGGGUGGCUACCGCUGUGGGAAGUUCUACGCAUGCGCGCCACAGUCUUGCGUGGGUGCCUGCGUGAGGUCACGUUCGAUCUCUGUGUCUGCGGAGAUCCUGAAGGGAUUGGAAAGGAAGAGCAGGCCGCUGCUGAAAUGACCAUGACCAACGAAGAAUUUCAGGGUGAGUGGACUGCUCCGGCUCCCAAAUUUACUGUAACUCAACCUGAGGUCACAGAAGAGAGUGAAGGCCUGCAGGUGUCCUCUGGUCUCUUCCGUGGUUCCCUGCUGGAGUGCAGCGCCCAGCCUGCCCCUCAAGACUGCAGCGACACUGCUCCAGCUACCGAAUGGCCUAAUUAAAUGCAGCCUCAUGUGCAGAAGGCAAAUAAGUCAGUUGUAAGAAAAGAUGAAAUGAGAAGUUGGCCCAAGAGCACACAAAGGCAUCAGCAAGUGUGAAUAUACUGCCCAGAAUGGCUCCCAUGAAAGUCAAGAAAUGGUCUCCAGUCUAGAUCUAGAAGCCACCUAUUGACUUCCAGUGCAUCAAGAUAACCCAACCGAUCACAAGGAAGGUCCCAACCUGCCUCUGUGCGGCAAACAGCUCUGACCUGGUGAACAGAAGGGGAACCGAAUCGGAUGAGAGAGGCCUGAGGAUAGGCAGAUCCUGAAAAGCCACGUGGAAUCUGAGAUGAGCUUACAGCCCCCAGUAAGCAUGAAAUGGAAGAUACGAAUCUGCAAUUCCCCAGUUAUCUCCUUCUCAACUACCUGAGUGUAAGCAUCUUGCUGCAGUAACUGUAAUCCUCAUUUUUUAAACAUGCAGUAAAUACUUUUAUUCUGAGACAUUAAUGCCAACUGUCGCCUGUUGCUUAACCAAAAAAAACAGCUCUAUUCUAAGACCGGAGGGAAAACUGUAUUGGAUUUAAUGGAUAUUUUACUGGAAGUUCAUUUGCAAGGGCAUUAUUUAUUUCAUUUCAUUUUUACCUUAAGUACUAACCUUAAAACUAAUUCCCAUGUGAGAUGCUACUAUGCUGUAAAUUCAUCAUUAGCGGUCAGAACCAUAAUUUAGGUUUUUUUUUCUUCAUCAGUAGUUUUUGUUUGUUUGUUUGUUUUGUCUUUUUUAUGGAAUGCUUCAUGAAUUUGUGUGUCAUCCUUGCACAGAGGCUGUGCCAAUCUCUGUAUGCUUCCAAUUUUAGUAUAUGUACUGGCGAAGCAAUCACUCAAUAGUCUUUUGAUACAGAUCAGGAGAAAAUUAUAGUGUGAGAAAAAGAACCUCAUUAUUAUCACUAAAGUGCCAAUAUUUUGGUUGUCAUUUUAUAAACAAAGAAGUUGAAGGCAUUUACUAAAUCAAGACCAAGCUCCAGUGCAAAUCUAGAAUUCACUGGGACAUGAAUCAAGGACACCAUGGAUUUACAUUUAGCGAAAGAGCUAAAAAUGAGUAAGUGCUAAUAGAUGCUAUGACUAUAGAAAUUGAGUUUUAAGUUAAUAAAAGCAAUGUUAUCUGAUUGGACAAAGAACAUGGGCAUCCUGUUUUUUUCCUUUCUUUCUUUUUUUUCUCUUUUGCAUUUUGUUAUUAUAGUUUAUGAUGACUAAAUAAUAUACUGGAAUGUAAAUAUAAAAGUGUAGUUUGCAGGGCGCCUGGGUGGCUCAGCUGGUUAAAGCCUCCUACUCUUGGUUUCCGCUCAGGUCAUGACCUCAGGGUUUCCUGAGUUCCUGCCCACAUCAGGCUCUGUGCUGGCAACACAGAGUUUGCUUGGGAUUGUCUCUCUCCCUGUCUGCCCCUCCCCGACUCACACUGUCUGUCUCUCUCAAAUAAAUAAAAAUAAAUAAAUAAACUUUAAAAGUGUAGUUUGCAUGCCACAAAUUGAUAAAAACUUUUCACUGUACUUAUUAUCAUGUAUUGUUGAACAAAACUUACCAUUUAAAUAUACUAAUUAGUUAAUGCACAGUGAAGAGGGACUAAAUAAAAGAUGUAAUGACAACAGCCAUAGUAGUAACAUGAUUGAAUACUUUAUAUGUGAUCCUCAUGGUGAUAAGUUCUUUUCUUAAAUUAUGUAAUUUAAUCUUCAGAGCAUGUGUAUGUAGUGGAUAUUAUUAUUCUUAGCCAUCCUUUGCCAAUGAGAAAGUCAAGAUAUAGAGAACUUUGAUAAUUUUUCCAAGAAUCACAAGUAGGUAGCAUUAGAGCCACUUUUGAAUCUAAUUCCAAAGCCCAUUUAAUAACUACAGUGCCAUUUUGACACACACAUGAAUAUUAUAAAUGGACCUAAAAAAUUUAAUGAUGGAUUCUUAUAAAUUAGAAAUGAAUAGGCUUCAUUAAAAAUCCUGGUAAGUCAUUACUGUGUCAUAUAUACUUUUUUCAUUCUUUUUAAAAAAAUUUUAAAGAUUUAUUUUGAGAGAGAGAGAG